rnacentral:rRNA from 1 species
CAGUCGAACGGAAUCUUCGGAUUUAGUGGCGGACGGGUGAGUAACGCGUAAGAAUCUACCUACAGACUCGGGACAACAGUUAGAAAUGACUGCUAAUACCGGAUAUGCCUUCGGGUGAAAGAUUUAUCAUCUGUAGAUGAGCUUGCGUCCGAUUAGCUAGAUGGUGGGGUAACGGCCUACCAUGGCGACGAUCGGUAGCUGGUCUGAGAGGAUGACCAGUCACACUGGGACUGAGACACGGCCCAGACUCCUACGGGAGGCAGCAGUGGGGAAUUUUCCGCAAUGGGCGAAAGCCUGACGGAGCAAUACCGCGUGAGGGACGAAGGCCUGUGGGUUGUAAACCUCUUUUGUUAGGGAAGAUAAUGACGGUACCUAACGAAUAAGCAUCGGCUAACUCCGUGCUAGCAGCCGCGGUAAGACGGAGGAUGCAAGCGUUAUCCGGAAUUAUUGGGCGUAAAGCGUACGUAGGCUGUUUCAUAAGUCUGUUGUCAAAGCCCGAGGCUCAACCUUGGAUCGGCAAUGGAAACUGUGAGACUAGAGAGAGAUAGGGGCAGGAGGAAUUCCAGGUGUAGCGGUGAAAUGCGUAGAUAUCUGGAAGAACACCAGUGGCGAAAGCGUCCUGCUGGAUCUCAACUGACGCUGAAGUACGAAAGCUAGGGGAGCGAAUGGGAUUAGAUACCCCAGUAGUCCUAGCCGUAAACGAUGGGUACUAGGUGUUGGUCGUAUCGACCCGAUCAGUGCUGUAGCUAACGCGUUAAGUACCCCGCCUGGGGAGUACGGUCGCAAGAUUGAAACUCAAAGGAAUUGACAGGGGCCCGCACAAGCGGUGGAGUAUGUGGUUUAAUUCGAUGCAACGCGAAGAACCUUACCAAGGCUUGACAUGUCGUGAAUCCUCUUGAAAGGGAGGAGUGCCUU